UCUCCGUAGGUGAACCUGCGGAGGGAUCAUUACAGAGUUCAUGCCCUACCGGGUAGAUCUUCCACCCUAUGUUAUUAUUACUUUGUUGCUUUGGCGGGCCGCUAGGCUCCGGCCCGACUACCGGCCCCGGCCGGUAAGCGCCCGCCAGAGGAUCCAAAUCCCUGCAUUCUAGUGUCGUCUGAUUCAAAUAUAACAAUUCAAACUUUCAACAACGGAUCUCCUCGUUCUUGCAUCGAUGAAGAACGAAGCAGAACGGACGAGCACACGACCUAAAUUCAC
rnacentral:misc_RNA from 1 species